rnacentral:rRNA from 1 species
UACGUAGGGUGCGAGCGUUUAAUCGGAAUUACUGGGCGUAAAGUGUGCGCAGGCGGCCUCGCAAGUCAAGUGUGAAAGCCCCGGGCUUAACCUGGGAACUGCGCUUGAAACUACGGGCUCGAGUGUGGCAGAGGAAGGUGAAUUCCGACGUGUAGGCGGUAGAAAUGCGUAGAGGAUGUGGAGGAACACCGAUGGCGAAGGCAGCCUUCUGGGCCAACACUGACGCUCAUGACACGAAAGCGUGGGGAGCAAACAGGA